AUAGCAAGCACCGCAAGGUUUUCUGUCACUAAGACAGAGCAGACUUCAGCGUUGUGCAAUGUGGAACGUGCAGUGUGCAACGCUACUGGCAACGCCAGACUUUGCUAACCGUCGGUGAAGACACCGGC
rfam:Pseudomonas sp. M30-35, complete genome.